rnacentral:sRNA from 1 species
CUAAACCAUUUACUUCUAAAGUGAAACAAAUGCGAUUACAUAGAGAAGACUUUGAAAUAUUAAAGGUGAUUGGUCGAGGAGCUUUUGGGGAGGAAAACCUUUAACUUACGCCCUGGGUGUUGCCUGUCAACAGUUUCCUGGUGGCUCACCGCUUCUGCCUGCUCCAGCCUUGCUCCGGCAGCUUCAAGGCUUCUGGGCUUCAGAGCUUGUUGUGAAAGCUUGCUGCUUUGGCCUGCUACCCCUGCUUCAGGUUGCUGUAGUAAAACUAAAAAAUGCAGAUAAAGUGUUUGCCAUGAAAAUAUUGAAUAAAUGGGAAAUGCUGAAAAGAGCUGAGACAGCAUGUUUUCGUGAAGAAAGGGAUGUAUUAGUGAAUGGAGACAAUAAAUGGAUUACAACCUUGCACUAUGCUUUCCAGGAUGACAAUAACUUA